ACUCCUACGGGAGGCAGCAGUGAGGAAUAUUGGUCAAUGGGCGAAAGCCUGAACCAGCCAUGUCGCGUGCAGGAAGACUGCCCUAUGGGUUGUAAACUGCUUUUAUACGGGAAUAAUUGCCCUACGUGUAGGGAGUUGCAUGUACCGUAUGAAUAAGCACCGGCUAACUCCGUGCCAGCAGCCGCGGUAAUACGGAGGGUGCGAGCGUUAAUCGGAAUUACUGGGCGUAAAGCGCAUGCAGGUGGUUUGUUAAGUCAGAUGUGAAAGCCCGGGGCUCAACCUCGGAAUAGCAUUUGAAACUGGCAGACUAGAGUACUGUAGAGGGGGUAGAAUUUCAGGUGUAGCGGUGAAAUGCGUAGAGAUCUGAAGGAAUACCGGUGGCGAAGGCGGCCCCUGGACAGAUACUGACACUCAGAUGCGAAAGCGUGGGGGAGCAAACAGGAUUAGAUACCCUGGUAGCGACUGAU
rnacentral:rRNA from 1 species